rnacentral:SRP_RNA from 1 species
AAUAAGUUUCGGAGCAAUAAGUUUCUUACGAAGCGUGUCAGGACCUGACGGUAGCAGCACUAAGUAUGGAGCUUAUGUGCUCUUUUUUUUGUUUUUUUUA